rnacentral:rRNA from 1 species
AUUGAACGCUGGCGGCAUGCUUUACACAUGCAAGUCGAACGGUAACAGGGUGCUUGCACCGCUGACGAGUGGCGAACGGGUGAGUAAUGCAUCGGAAUGUACCGUGUAAUGGGGGAUAGCUCGGCGAAAGCCGGAUUAAUACCGCAUACGCCCUGAGGGGGAAAGUGGGGGACCGUAAGGCCUCACGUUAUACGAGCAGCCGAUGUCUGAUUAGCUAGUUGGUGAGGUAAAGGCUCACCAAGGCGUCGAUCAGUAGCGGGUCUGAGAGGAUGAUCCGCCACACUGGGACUGAGACACGGCCCAGACUCCUACGGGAGGCAGCAGUGGGGAAUUUUGGACAAUGGGCGCAAGCCUGAUCCAGCCAUGCCGCGUGUCU